rnacentral:rRNA from 1 species
UACUCGAGUGGCGAACGGGUGAGUAACACGUGGGUGAUCUGCCCUGCACUUCGGGAUAAGCUUGGGAAACUGGGUCUAAUACCGGAUAGGAACCAUCUUUAGUGUGGUGGUUGGAAAGUUUUUUCGGUGUAGGAUGAGCUCGCGGCCUAUCAGCUUGUUGGUGGGGUAAUGGCCUACCAAGGCGGCGACGGGUAGCCGGCCUUAGAGGGUGUACGGCCACAUUGGGACUGAGAUACGGCCCAG